rnacentral:lncRNA from 1 species
GAAAUGGACCAGGCAGCAUAUCAGACCAAGUAGAAUCUCGGCUAGAGGUUUCUGUUUUGGAUGCCACGUGGACCAAUAGUAUCUUUUUCUCGCAGGUCAGACCAAAUCUUUCCUCCCCUUGUAACAUUAUAAUCUUGGAUUAAACAGAAUUACCCAUCGUUUUACUUACUUUUAAUGAACUCCUUUUCACUGGAUUUUGAUUAGUUCGAGUGCAUGACAAAAUGGUUCAUUUUUUAGAAUAAGAAAUGUAUUUUCGUUUAAAAAAGUUGAAUUAAUUUAUUGAUAAACAUUAAAAAAAAUUAAGUAGAAUAGAUGGGAUAACUAGUUAUAAGAUAAGUUAUAGAUUGAAACACAGCUUGUUUGUUUAUGCAAUGCAAUCAGAACCAUAAGAGUGUGAAAAUGGAUUCCUGCCAUAUAUCCCAACCUCUCUCUCUCUCUCUCUCUCUUUCUGUGAUCAGCCGACGUCUGAUCUGUGAUUUGAUUUUCACCGACCACUUGUUGGCGGGCCCCUACAAUUUGAUGAUUUGUUUGGGCGAUAAAACGCAACGCAUGUUUCUUGCUCAAUCCAAAUACUAACAAAACAUUCUCUGAUGAACACACUCUUUUUAAGAACAGGGCUCGGAGCAUGAUUAUUUCCCCAAAGUUAUUAACUAAGUAGUACUGUGAUUAGUUAACAAAUUCAGAAACUAUUUCUUUUCCUAAUUGAUUUCUGUUGAAUUUGAUCUGAUGGGUAUUGCUGUACACGCAGCACCUGUCCUUUGGUAAAAGCAGAUCAUAGAGGAAGAACAGGGGUUAGUUUUGGUCCAUCUAAUAACGUAAACUGAAGUGGAGAAAGGGACUCGUGUAGCUUCUCAUUUAAUUCUUUGUUUUGGAUGUGGAGCAAGUUUGAGACCCCACACGUCUCCCUCCUAGUAUAUGGUGUUAGAUUCUUCCCCUCUCAGAGUCCACCUCCUUGCUCUUCGGCCAAACAGGUAUGCCCUCUUAAUCAUUUUAGUUGAUGCUUUAUUUGUUUCCACUAUGUGCUUGUGCCCUCCUUCCAGCCAGUAGGAAUACAAAACAUUUUGAUCUCGUAAUUCAGAUUAUUAACGUAAUAUAAUUUAGAUGGUUUGUUUGGACCUACUCCGAAUUUCCCUUUUAAGAUUAGUCCCCUUCGGUUAUAUUUGACCGAAUAUAUAACUAUGUCAUGUGUCAUGAACGACACAUGGAACAAGGUAGAAACGAAAUGGAAUUUUAUGGACAUCACUCAAAAUUCUUUUUUUUUUUUUUAAUUUUUACAUAAAAUAAUAACAAAAACAAUAAAAUUGAAGAAAAUAGAAAAUUAUUGCACGUGGUGUAAUAAAAUUGGGAUUGAUAGGAUAUUUGUUUUUGGCAGUUUGUGUGUCUUAUCUCGUUCAAAUCUGGCUGGCUUCUCCAGCUGCUGCUCUUAUCUCUGUAAACUCAUGACAUGGGUUUGUUUCUCUUUUGAAUUAAGAACUAAGUUUUCAAAAAAAA